AUGUUCUUGGUCCUGGUGCUUCUGAACCUUCGAUCACAGGUUGGACUGAUGCCUUGCGCGAGGUUCAUUCCUUGGUCGGAGAUCGUUUUCGUCAGAAGCUUCGCGGCAUGGACUUUGACACGCUCCUUCGCGUGCAAUAUGAGCACCAUAGCCUUGGUCAUCACAUGGCUGCCGCCUUAGAGGAGCGUUGCUCCCGGGAGGUUAUCUGCCGUGAUG